rnacentral:rRNA from 1 species
UACGUAGGGGGCAGAGUCGUUCGGUUCGAUUUGAUGGCGUAAAGAGCGUGUAGGCGGCCAGGUAGGUCUGCUGUGAAAACUCGAGGCUUAACCUCGAGAUGUCGGCGGAAACCAUCUGGCUAGAGUGCGGUAGGGGAGACUGGAAUUCCUGGUGUAGCGGUGAAAUGCGCAGAUAUCAGGAGGAACACCGGUGGCGAAGGCGGGUCUCUGGGCCGUAACUGACGCUGAGGAGCGAAAGCGUGGGGAGCGAACAGG